rnacentral:rRNA from 1 species
GACGAACGCUGGCGGCGUGCUUAACACAUGCAAGUCGAGCGGUAAGGCCCUUUCGGGGGUACACGAGCGGCGAACGGGUGAGUAACACGUGGGUGACCUGCCCUUAGCUCUGGGAUAAGCCUGGGAAACUGGGUCUAAUACCGGAUAUGACUCCAUGACGCAUGUUGUGGGGUGGAAAGCCUUGUGCGGCUAGGGAUGGGCCUGCGGCCUAUCAGCUUGUUGGUGGGGUGAUGGCCUACCAAGGCGACGACGGGUAGCCGGCCUGAGAGGGCGACCGGCCACACUGGGACUGAGACACGGCCCAGACUCCUACGGGAGGCAGCAGUGGGGAAUCUUGCGCAAUGGGCGAAAGCCUGACGCAGCGACGCCGCGUGGGGGAUGACGGCCU